rnacentral:rRNA from 1 species
AGAGUUUGAUCCUGGCUCAGGAUGAACGCUAGCUACAGGCUUAACACAUGCAAGUCGAGGGGCAGCAUGAUUGAAGCUUGCUUCAAUUGAUGGCGACCGGCGCACGGGUGAGUAACACGUAUCCAACCUUCCGUACACUCAGGGAUAGCCUUUCGAAAGAAAGAUUAAUACCUGAUGGUAUCUUAAGCACGCAUGUAAUUAAGAUUAAAGAUUUAUCGGUGUACGAUGGGGAUGCGUUCCAUUAGGUAGUAGGCGGGGUAACGGCCCACCUAGCCUACGAUGGAUAGGGGUUCUGAGAGGAAGGUCCCCCACAUUGGAACUGAGACACGGUCCAAACUCCUACGGGAGGCAGCAGUGAGGAAUAUUGGUCAAUGGACGAGAGUCUGAACCAGCCAAGUAGCGUGAAGGAUGACUGCCCUAUGGGUUGUAAACUUCUUUUAUAAAGGAAUAAAGUCGGGUAUGGAUACCCGUUUGCAUGUACUUUAUGAAUAAGGAUCGGCUAACUCCGUGCCAGCAGCCGCGGUAAUACGGAGGAUCCGAGCGUUAUCCGGAUUUAUUGGGUUUAAAGGGAGCGUAGAUGGAUGUUUAAGUCAGUUGUGAAAGUUUGCGGCUCAACCGUAAAAUUGCAGUUGAUACUGGAUAUCUUGAGUGCAGUUGAGGCAGGCGGAAUUCGUGGUGUAGCGGUGAAAUGCUUAGAUAUCACGAAGAACUCCGAUUGCGAAGGCAGCACACUAAGCCGUAACUGACGUUCAUGCUCGAAAGUGUGGGUAUCAAACAGGAUUAGAUACCCUGGUAGUCCACACGGUAAACGAUGGAUACUCGCUGUUGGCGAUAUACGGUCAGCGGCUUAGCGAAAGCGUUAAGUAUCCCACCUGGGGAGUACGCCGGCAACGGUGAAACUCAAAGGAAUUGACGGGGGCCCGCACAAGCGGAGGAACAUGUGGUUUAA